AGAUUAAUACAGAGACCCAUAGCUAAUCAACAUUCAGAGAAUAAGAGAUAAUGGACUUCUCCCUUUAAAAUAGGAUAUUUCUUAUACACCCUUGCCAUAAAGUAUCAUGAAGCAUCAUGGAAGAGGGAGAGAAAAAAUUGUAAGAUAGGAGGCUGUAAAGAUAUAUAAUGAAUGUGUACUUUAUAGACAGAAGUUCCUUUGCACACAUGAACUCAGAGACUGACUGUACAAGACCUGCACAGGAUCAAGCUAACUCAAAUUAUAACAGCAUAUAAUUGGACCUAGAGCUUCAUUACUGCCAAGCCAACUCUGUACACUGAGUUAAAUGCCUCAACUACUUCCUCCACAAA